AGCGAACGCUGGCGGCAGGCCUAACACAUGCAAGUCGAACGAACUCUUCGGAGUUAGUGGCGGACGGGUGCGUAACACGUGGGAACGUGCCUUUAGGUUCGGAAUAACUCAGGGAAACUUGUGCUAAUACCGAAUGUGCCCUUCGGGGGAAAGAUUUAUCGCCUUUAGAGCGGCCCGCGUCUGAUUAGCUAGUUGGUGAGGUAAAGGCUCACCAAGGCGACGAUCAGUAGCUGGUCUGAGAGGAUGAUCAGCCACAUUGGGACUGAGACACGGCCCAAACUCCUACGGGAGGCAGCAGUGGGGAAUCUUGCGCAAUGGGCGAAAGCCUGACGCAGCCAUGCCGCGUGAAUGAUGAAGGUCUUAGGAUUGUAAAAUUCUUUCACCGGGGACGAUAAUGACGGUACCCGGAGAAGAAGCCCCGGCUAACUUCGUG
rnacentral:rRNA from 1 species